rnacentral:tRNA from 1 species
GGUGAGGUGUCCGAGUGGCUGAAGGAGCACGCCUGGAAAGUGUGUAUACGUUUACGGUAUCGAGGGUUCGAAUCCCUCUCUCACCGCCA